rnacentral:lncRNA from 1 species
ACAUAGAACUUUAAAAAAAUUUGUAAAGGGCUAGAAAACCGUUUCUCCCGGUGUGUCACAAUUAGUAUCAAAAGAUAUUUUACCUUCUGAGUCAUGAAGAAAGGAAGAUUUUCUCUUUCAGAGCCAAAAUGUGCUAGGAUAAUGGAGAUGAGGGAAUUCUCUGAAUUGGAAAAAGAUUAUGGAUUGUUCAUUUUAUCUUUUUUUGCUGUCCUAUUGAUUGAUUAGAAUCUGAUUCUUGCCUAACAAGCAUUUGAACAUUAGGUUGUUGAUUUGUUCAUUCAUUAUUCUUGACUUCUCCAAUUGUCC